rnacentral:rRNA from 1 species
UGGGGAAUAUUGGGCAAUGGGCGAAAGCCUGACCCAGCGACGCCGCGUGAAGGAUGAAGGCCCUCGGGUUGUAAACUUCUUUUCUAUGGGAAGAUAAUGACGGUACCAUAGGAAUAAGCCACGGCUAACUACGUGCCAGCAGCCGCGGUAAUACGUAGGUGGCGAGCGUUGUCCGGAAUUACUGGGUGUAAAGGGCGUGUAGGCGGGAAUAUAAGUCAGAUGUGAAAUGCAGGGGCUCAACCCCUGAGCUGCAUUUGAAACUAUAUUUCUUGAGUGAUGGAGAGGUAAUCGGAAUUCCUAGUGUAGCGGUGAAAUGCGUAGAUAUUAGGAGGAACACCAGUGGCGAAGGCGGAUUACUGGACAUUAACUGACGCUGAGGCGCGAAAGCGUGGGGAGCAAACA